GAAUUGUUGAAAAACAUUGAUAAAGCUUUGAAACUACAAAAAGAUGAUUUACCAAAAGAGAUUAUUCAAGUGCACCUAAAUGGAAUGGAGAAUCUAAUGGAAAAUGAAAUUGAUCAAAUGAAAUUGUUGAAAAAAAUUGAAAAAGGUAAGUUUGAAUUUUUUUGGUAAUACAUUUGAUAACUCUCUUCUAUGAAUUGUAUCUUAAUUAUUUUUGAUGCUACAAUUUGCAAUUUUUUUAGGAAUUCUUUGAAUAAAAAGAUUAGUGUUAAUUAUCGAAAAAGUUUUCAAAAACAUUUGAUGAUAAAAGCUGUAUUUUUACAAGAUCUUUGCCUGUUGUGUCUUUUUAACAAUAAAUCUAACGAUUCAACACAAAAUAUUCCUUCGUUUUUAAAAAAACGAUGUGUUAUAUAAAUUGCUCGCUUUUGUGAGAUUAGAAGAAAAAAACUGUAUAAAAGUAGUCUACGUAAAACGCAAUAAGUUUUAGAGUAAUAUUAAUCUCUUGAUAAGAACAAUAAUUCAUGAAGAGCACUAUAAUGUUUUAGGGUCAAGGAAUUUGUUAUAAACAAAUAUUUAAUUUAGAAACGUAAACGUAUGUUCGAAUGUCCACAAGACCUCAAAUGAGUAAUUUCUCAAGAGUUAAUUACAUAAUUUUUUCUAUAAUUAAAAAUAUAUUUAAGCCUGGCAGAACAAGGGAAAUGAAACAAUGUUGAGUUGCACUACAUAACAAUUUUAGAUGAAAAAUGUUUAGUGACUUUUUCCAAUUUAUAUUUCAGCUUUGCAGCUUCAAAGAGAGGAUUUACCUCAAGAGAGUAAGUAUUAAACUUUUAAAUAAUCGUAAGUAAUAGUAAGUAAGUAAUAGCAAUUUAAGUAACAGAAACUUAUAACUAAUUUUUAAAUAAUAGAUUAUGUUAACUAAGUUAAAUGUCAUAAAAACUUUAUCUACAAUUGUUGAUUCAUAUGGAAUCCUGUUGUUUUUUCUAUUUCUAAACUGAAUCUACCCUCAAUUACAACUGCUAAUUUAUG